UUUCAGUGCAGAAGUCUUCUGGAGCAGCACUGAAGUGCCACAACAAAGUGUAUUUUCUACUGCCUGAGACACAACUCGAAGAACAGAAAAUUACCUUUGAAAGCUGAUCUUUUCGUUUCCCUGGCCAUAACAUAUGAGCACAUUGGGGGGAAGAUGUGGUUUUGGGUGGUAUGGUUUAUACAGACAACACCAGACCCUUGAAAAAUGUUUAUGCUGUUGUCUCGUAUUCCUACAAUAUCCUGGCUGCUCCCUUCAGAUCCUGUGGCCACCAUCCAGCGACUUCGGCUGCAUUGUCUUCCUGCACUCAGGAAAAAGUCGGAGGUGAAGAGAAGAUGCUGGAUGUCUUAGGAUCUUUCUCCAAAAUGCCCCAAUAUUUUAAUAUUGUUUUUUUAAUAAACUUUGAGUUGGUAUCAUAA